rnacentral:rRNA from 1 species
AGUGAACGCUGGCGGCGUGCCUAAUACAUGCAAGUCGAACGGAAUUUAAAAGAGCUUGCUCUUUUAAAUUUAGUGGCGCACGGGUGAGUAAUAUAUAGCUAAUCUGCCCCUUGCUGGAGGACAACAGUUAGAAAUGACUGCUAAUACUCCAUACUCCUUUUUACCAUAAGAUAAAUCGGGAAAGAAUUUCGGCAAGGGAUGAGACUAUAUCGUAUCAGCUAGUCGGUGGGGUAACGGCCUACCGAGGCUAUGACGCGUAACUGGUCUGAGAGGAUGAUCAGUCACAUUGGAACUGAGACACGGUCCAAACUCCUACGGGAGGCAGCAGUAGGGAAUAUUGCGCAAUGGGGGAAACCCUGACGCAGCAACGCCGCGUGGAGGAUGACACUUUUCGGAGCGUAAACUCCUUUUGUUAGGGAAGAAUAAGACGGUACCUA